CCGGUGCCGCUGCCCCAGAGCCAGCAGGUGCCGCCUGGCCAGAGCUGCCAAGGCACAGGAGGAGGCCGUGGCAGCUUCUCCUGCCCUUGGCGAGUAGGUGGGAGCUGCAGGGCCAGGCAGCCAGGCAGCUGCCCCACACAGCCCCUGCAACCAGCCCAGCCCUUUGCCCAGCUGGCCUGAAGCCCGUGGCCUCCCCGGACAGCAGCUGGGGCACAACGGGGUCGCUGCUGCCGGUGCCAGAGACCGAGGAUGUGGCCUUGGCUAAGGAAGAGUGGAAAGAAUCUCUUGACCGAAAGCUGGCCCAAGGGCCAAGUGACAGAGCCCAGGUUCUGUCCCUGGGGCCAGGUGACAGUGAAGAACUGUCCCAAAGGGAAGACAAGAGACACCAAGACCGGUCCAGGUGAGAGGGGACAGAGGCCAAAGCCUGAGCGGUGCUGCAGGAGAGCCGGCACAGGCCUCGCUCAGGCACACACAGACCCUCGGCCUCCUGCUGGGAACAGCCCGGCGUGACAAGGGAAAUUGUGACUGGAGAAGGGGUCCAUACCGAGGGACAACAGCGCUGUUCGGGGACAAACAUCCUGCUUCUAGUCCCUGGAAAGAAGCACAACACAGGACAGAAAAAGGGCAGAAAAAAAGCCAGGAGGAGAGCAUGGACUGCAGGGCAGAAUCAAGCCCACUCAAGAGCCCCAACACCUCUGAGGCAUUUCCAGAAAGAUAACAGGUUACAUUUAGGGCUGAAUUAUUUCAGUCUCAUACAGCUAUUAAAUCAACCUGGGUUUGCAGCAGAAUAAGGCUGGAGCAGCAGAAAGUGAAUCACAUCCAUAAUUUGUACAGUUCCUUAGGACAUAAACAUCAGAAGGGAGAAUUUCUUUUAAAGAAGCAGAUGUCUGCACCAAACAAGAGAGCUGGUUUGGUCUGUAGGAGAGAAGGAGAAGGAGACUCUUCCCUGAAGAGGAAGGAAAAAAGGUAACAGAAAAAUGAAGCAAAUAAAUAAAUCCCAAAUUAAUUCAGAAGAUGUUGCAAGAAUUAUGUCUGAAGUAUAUGAAGCAUAUUACUUAUAAGUACUCCUUUCUAUUUCUUUCCUAUUUUAAUUUGACUGGAUAAAAACUGUUUCAAGACUGCUGAUAUUUCAGGAAUGCUAAAAUGUACUGGCCCUGAGAAACAGAAACCAGCUAAGUGUAAAACUCAGGGACUUCUGGUGCAUAACAGUUUUUUAAACAAAAUCAUAAAUAAAACAUAUAGAAUAGAUCAACCAGUAAAUUAGCACAGAGUGGGGCAGCUGGGUGCAGUGUAAACUCCAGCACCAAUAAAGCCAAUAACAAUUUUGACAAUGAUUUCACAGGGACCAAUAACUCAGCUUAGAGUACACAUAUUUCAGACAGUAAUUUUUGAGAAAAAUGGAUGAA